AACGAACGCUGGCGGCAUGCCUAACACAUGCAAGUCGAACGAGACCUUCGGGUCUAGUGGCGCACGGGUGCGUAACGCGUGGGAACCUGCCCUUAGGUUCGGAAUAACUCCCCGAAAGGGGUGCUAAUACCGGUUAAUGUCUUCGGACCAAAGAUUUAUCGCCUUUGGAUGGGCCCGCGUUGGAUUAGCUAGUUGGUAGGGUAAAAGCCUACCAAGGCGACGAUCCAUAGCUGGUCUGAGAGGAUGAUCAGCCACACUGGGACUGAGACACGGCCCAGACUCCUACGGGAGGCAGCAGUGGGGAAUAUUGGACAAUGGGCGAAAGCCUGAUCCAGCAAUGCCGCGUGAGUGAUGAAGGCCUUAGGAUUGUAAAGCUCUUUUACCCGGGAUGAUAAUGACAGUACCGGGAGAAUAAGCACCGGCUAACUCCGUG
rnacentral:rRNA from 1 species